rnacentral:misc_RNA from 1 species
GAUGAAGAACGUAGCGAAAUGCGAUAAGUAAUGCGAAUUGCAGAAUUCAGUGAAUCAUCGAAUGUUUGAACGCACAUUGCGCCCGCUAGUAUUCUGGCGGGCAUGCCUGUCUGAGCGUCAUUUCAACCCUCGCCCCCGGCUUUUGCUGGGAGCGGUGUUGGGGAUCGGCCGCCCGUCACUGGGAGGCCGGCCCCGAAAUAGAGUGGCGACCACGCCGUGUGCUCCUCUGCGUAGUAGUAAAUCACCCCGCAGGCGGACAGCGGUGCGGCCUGCCGUAAAACCCCCAACUCUUUCUGGUUGACCUCAGAUCAGGUAGGAAUACCCGCUGAACUUAAGCAUAUCAAUAAGCGGAGGA